rnacentral:rRNA from 1 species
UACAGAGGUCCCAAGCGUUGUUCGGAUUCAUUGGGCGUAAAGGGUGCGUAGGCGGCGCGGUAAGUCGGGUGUGAAAUCUCGGGGCUUAACUCCGAAACUGCAUUCGAUACUGCCGUGCUUGAGGACUGGAGAGGAGACUGGAAUUUACGGUGUAGCGGUGAAAUGCGUAGAUAUCGUAAGGAAGACCAGUGGCGAAGGCGGCAUCCUGGACCGGUAUUGACGCUGAGGCGCGAAAGCUAGGGGAGCAAACGGG